AGCGAACGCUUGCGGCAGGCCUAACACAUGCAAGUCGAACGAACCCUUCGGGGUUAGUGGCGGACGGGUGAGUAACACGUGGGAACGUGCCUUUAGGUUCGGAAUAACUCAGGGAAACUUAUGCUAAUACCGAAUGUGCCCUUCGGGGGAAAGAUUUAUCGCCUUUAGAGCGGCCCGCGUCUGAUUAGCUAGUUGGUGAGGUAAUGGCUCACCAAGGCUACGAUCAGUAGCUGGUCUGAGAGGAUGACCAGCCACAUUGGGACUGAGACACGGCCCAAACUCCUACGGGAGGCAGCAGUGGGGAAUCUUGCGCAAUGGGCGAAAGCCUGACGCAGCCAUGCCGCGUGGAUGAUGAAGGUCUUAGGAUUGUAAAAUCCUUUCACCGGUGAAGAUAAUGACUGUAGCCGGAGAAGAAGCCCCGGCUAACUUCGUGCCAGCCGCCGCCGUAAUAC
rnacentral:rRNA from 1 species